rnacentral:sRNA from 1 species
AAGCCCUGAUUUCCCUGACCCUCCCAGGUCAAGGGGUGGCUGGGUUGAGGGUGGACGGUGCGAGGCCUGGCGGAGCUGUAGCCCACGCAGGUCCAGGUGGUCGGGAGGCCACUCAUGGCCAGAUGCUUCCGGUGCAGGAGGCCUUGCUCUUGUGUUGAGGGGACACCAGGAUGAGGUCAGAGAGUGCACUGGGGUUCAGGGAGGAGAAGAAUCCUGAGAGAUGGCACAUGUGCAACACAGGUCACCGUCGCCAUCGCCCGGGCCCACCGAAAGCAUCACUAAUCCAUCCCUGCACUCCUGGAAAGCCGGGUCAGCCUCUGCCGGCUGAGCUGAGUGGACCACCAGGCGCCUCCUGGUUGUCCUCUGUGUGCUGUUGUCCUCUGUGUGCUCUUGUCCUGGGCUGGACCACACCUGAAUAUUCCAGCCACCAAAGUGCUCAGCAGGAGCUGCCAUGUAAGAGUCCCCCAUGAGGCCCAAGCACCUGAGCUUAGUGACGUGCACGGUUGAACGCUGGGAGACUGCUGGGAGCCUGCUGUU